rnacentral:tRNA from 1 species
GCAGAUAUAGUUUAACGAAAAUGUUGGAUUGUGAUUCCGAAGACAGGGGUUAAAGCCCCCUUAUCCGCC